CCUACGGGUGGCUGCAGUGGGGAAUAUUGGACAAUGGGGGCAACCCUGAUCCAGCCAUGCCGCGUGUGUGAAGAAGGCCCUCGGGUUGUAAAGCACUUUCAGUGAGGAAGAACGCCUGGUGGUUAAUACCCAUCAGGAAAGACAUCACUCACAGAAGAAGCACCGGCUAACUCCGUGCCAGCAGCCGCGGUAAUACGGAGGGUGCGAGCGUUAAUCGGAAUUACUGGGCGUAAAGCGCGCGUAGGUGGCUUGAUAAGCCGGUUGUGAAAGCCCCGGGCUCAACCUGGGAACGGCAUCCGGAACUGUCAAGCUAGAGUGCAGGAGAGGAAGGUAGAAUUCCCGGUGUAGCGGUGAAAUGCGUAGAGAUCGGGAGGAAUACCAGUGGCGAAGGCGGCCUUCUGGACUGACACUGACACUGAGGUGCGAAAGCGUGGGUAGCAAACAGGAUUAGAUACCCUAGUAGUC
rnacentral:rRNA from 1 species